rnacentral:lncRNA from 1 species
UUUUUAUGUGGGAAGGCAGUAGAAUGCUGCUUUCUGGCACACGUGAAUUCAGAGAAGAUUCUCUCUCUCUCUACAUCAUGAAAGUGAUUGCCUGAAGAGGCGCUUGAUUGGACCGAGAGGUUAAAACAAAUACAAGGACGUGACACUGGGAAAGUUAGACCAUAAGAAGACUUUCAGAAGCGUUCUGCUUCCACUGGGUCCAAGUAGCUCUCAUCAGACCAGCCCUCCUGGGAUCAAUAAAAAACGUUCAAUUCCUGAGAAACACAAAUAAAACAACUACUUGAUGACACUGGAGUGUGAAGAAAAGCAGGCAGAAACUAGAGGAGGGAUGAUGCUUGGAAGAAAGGAAAGAAACCUGGUGAGUUUCCUGUUUGGAAACACUUAUCUGGGGGCAGAUCCAGUCUACACCACGAGGAACAGCCAGAACUGAUGGAAAUGCACAAUCUUACUUCCUUGAAGAACCAGAAGACAGGGUUCGGAGUGCAGCUACAGCCACUGGAAUAUGAGGAGGAAAAUACCAGAAAAGGAGAAAGCUAGAGAAGGACUUGCAGGAGUCAGAUAGAUCAUCCUCUGCCUGAAGUUUCAACGAACAGCGACCCCUGGACAAAUCAAAGUAAAGAAGAAAGGCGAUUUUCAGAAGGUUUUUGCCUAAGCUCUCGAAGGUCACUGGCACACUCAACGCCUAUGGAGACUGAGGAAGCUAGCUCCUUGACUAAUGGCAGACGUCGAUAUGAUAGAUGCUGAUGGAGACGUAUUAAAAUCUCCCAGCUUAAAGGGCAGGUCUCCUGACCUUUUCCUCAGGAUCCUGAGGUCGGCUCUCCUUCCUCUCUCUUCCUUGUGGCGACUUCCAAUCUUUCAACAAGUGCUGUCAAUCGUGUCUUCUCCACACAUUCAAGAAAAGAUUGAUAGAGCGGUUAACAACAGGCCUCAGGUGUGAACAUAUUCACUAGGAAUGUUACAUAAGACGAACGUCUGUGGGGAGGCGGAGUGGAAUUUUGAGGACAAAGAAAAAACAGCGAAGGUUUUUGAUUCUUCGAGAAAAAUGUGAUGAUUAAUUGUUUUGGUUGGUAAGGGCGAGCGUCCAGUCGUUGUGGCCUUAGAUUCUAUCAGUUGCAUUCAACCCGCCUGGCCCCGAACACACAUGGGCCUGGGGGCCGGGUGCCCGGGAGGCCCACCGACUCUGUGCUUACAUAUUGAGGACUUACAAGUCAGGU